rnacentral:rRNA from 1 species
GACGAGGGGUCCAAGCGUUUGUUCGGAAUCAUUGGGCGUAAAGCGGGUGUAGGCGGCUCUAUAAGUCAGGAGUGAAAUCCCCGAGCUUAACUCGGGAAGUGCUUUUGAUACUGCAGAGCUUGAAUGUGGGAGAGGAUAGUAGAAUUCCAGGUGUAGUGGUGAAAUACGUAGAUAUCUGGAGGAAUACCGGUGGCGAAGGCGGCUAUCUGGCCCAACAUUGACGCUGA